CUGUCUGUGCGAUCUAUCGCAUGCAUGGUGAUCUGUUGUUAUUCCAUUCUUUAUUAUUCUGUUGGAAUAUCCUGUCUGUGCGGAUUACGUAUGACCUGGUUCCAUUCUUUAUUAUUCUGUUGGAAUAACCUGUCUGUGCGGUCUAUCGCAUGCUUGGUGAAUUCUUCUGUUAUUCCAUUCUUUAUUAUUCUGUUGGAAUAACCUGUCUAUGUGGAUUACCGCAUGCAUGGUGAAUGAUCCUUCGUAUUCAUGCUUUAUUAAAUUGUGGAAAUGAUCUGUCUACGUG
rnacentral:lncRNA from 1 species